GGUAAACCAGCACCUCAAGUGGUCAGGAUGAUUAUUGGGCCUAAAGCAUCCGUAGCCGGCUCUGUAAGUUUUCGGUUAAAUCUGUAUGCUCAACAUACAGGCUGCCGGGAAUACUGCAGAGCUAGGGAGUGGGAGAGGUAGACGGUACUCGGUAGGAAGGGGUAAAAUCCUUUGAUCUAUUGAUGACCACCUGUGGCGAAGGCGGUCUACCAGAACACGUCCGACGGUGAGGGAUGAAAGCUGGGGGAGCAAACCGGAUUAGAUACCCGGGUAGUCCCAGCUGUAAACUAUGCAAACUCAGUGAUGCAUUGGCUUGUGGCCAAUGCAGUGCUGCAGGGAAGCCGUUAAGUUUGCCGCCUGGGAAGUACGUACGCAAGUAUGAAACUUAAAGGAAUUGGCG
rnacentral:rRNA from 1 species